UGAAAGUCAUUUAGAGCAGUCAGUGACAGUCUCAGUGAAGCAGAAAUGACAUGUAUUAUUUAUUGAGAGUAGCCCAGAAUUAUCACAUGCACAUGAUUCCAGCCAUCUACGCUUUGAAUUCUGAGAAAUAAAAUGACCAUAUAAUUCAACUCCAGCCGUUUCAAAGUUCUCAAAGGAGUAGAUUUUUCAAAUGAUCUCAUCCUGACCUACAUAGAGACAUCUCUUAUGAGACAAAUUAGUUAAUCAGGGAGUUAUUUUUGGAUCUGACAAUAUCAGAACCAUUUGAAAUAAUUUAAAACUCUACCUUCUGAUGCACGUUGGUUGUGUUAAUAUAAUCCUACCUCUUUCUUCACGAUUUGGAUGCUGAGACACUCAAAACCUUCCAAUCAGUGACAAAUUCUAUUGUGUAAAGAGUGAUGCAAUAUCUCCCUGCCAGAACAGUAGACAGGGUAGACGGUGUUUAAAAUAUUAAUAGCUCAUUUUACAAUGUAGAAUUCAUCCUGAUCUCAUAUAAUCUCAGAUGAAUAGUAAUAUUUGCUAUCACAGCAAUACACAUUAGGAGAACAAAAAGAAGACAGCGUUUUAAGAUUGGUACUGCUAAUAUGGUGAUAUGAUAAGUGAUGGAGAAAUGAUAAUCAGGUCUUGACCCUAUAAUUCAAUUACACUUUGCUCAUGAAACUGUGUCUUAUUUUCUUACAUUUCUAUUUCAGUGGGAUUCUUGCAAGCGUUUGCUCAUUUUCUUUUUAUGUAUGUUUUCUUCAAUCCAAUUGAAUACUCACUUUGGGGACAAGGAGAAGAGUGGAAUUAUAUUUGAUCGUAUCCAUUAUGCAUGUUUGAAAGGUAGUUGAGUAGGAAAAGUGUGAGGGGGCAAAACCUUGUUUAAUGCAGAUUUUCUCAUAUUUCUUUGUACAAGGCAGUUCUUUUUCGGUGGAAGGUAAUCAUGCACAGAGCCUAUAGGAUAACCACUGUGCCAUCCGUGAGGUCCCCCUUGCUCCUAGCUCAUACAGACUAUGAGCAUUUUCAAGUUCCUUUUUUCUUUCUUUUUAAGAAUAGAAUUUGACUUUAUUUUUCAAAUGAGGCCCUAGAGUCAAUGUGAAAGGAUCACUUUUGCAUAAAAUGUGUCCUCUUUUCAAUAACAUCUGUUCACAUAAUCUUGACUACGUACAACCUUCCCAUUCUGAGUCUGUGAUGGAGCAAAAAACCAAAACAGAACAAAAGAAACACUUGCCACUGGACAUUGCAUAAUAAGUUGAUUAAUUAAUAUGGGUAAUACUUGGUAUUUUGGAAUCUAAACUGGAAAUAUGUCAUGGAAGGAAAUAAGAGCAUCACCAUUCAGCCCUGUUUUCAUCAUGAAGGACAUAACAAAAGUAAAAUUGUAAUUCUUUAUCUUUUAAUUAAAAAAGUCCCAAGAAAACAGUGUGCACUAGAUGGUGAGGCUUUCAAUGGCCUGCAAAGAGAUCAUUCAGUCUGCAGUGAUGGUGCUCCAGGCCCAAUCAGAUACAAGAUGUUGUGGCCAGGAGCUACAGAAUGCCAUUCGGGAUGCUAGCAUCAUGUUCUGUCAUUGUGAUGCGAGGUCCAGACCAUGGGCAAGCUGAGAUACAGGAGAGUCUGUGGAAUGAAGGAAGUAUGGACUAAUAAAGGACAUGGUGCAUUCUGGCCACGCUAGGCAUCACGUGAGGAGCUAAUGGCCCCGACCUCCCGACAGCAAACAGCUUUUUGCUGCGGUUGUUGCAUUCUGUUUUGUCCCAGUAAAGCAAGAACAAUCUCUGAAGCAAUUCUCCCCGUGACUCAGUGACACAUAUUUGUUAGAAUCCAAACAACACAGUCGGCAGUCUCAAUGUAAUUGCUGCUUAACUCACUUUCACUUGUGGAAUAAUCCUGUGGGUCCAAUAUUCCUGAUUCCUGCAGUGAUCUAAUACAUGAGUCCACCAGUUCAAGACCUGUUUAGAUCUUUUACUCUGAUCAAGCGGCUUCUAUGAAUAGCUCAUCAGUUUCUCAACGGCACACCAAGGACCAAGCUGCCCAAGGAAAACCUGUGAGAGGAAAUGCCAAAUGCCACUUCCCAUGCAAGCACAGAAGGGCCGAUGUGAAGUCUACAGCUCUCUCAAGUCCCAGGUUGAGAUGGGUCCCUGAAUAGCCAUGUGUACUGUAUACAUGGGCCAGCCCACAGGAAACAGAGUGCAAAAAGAAAUAAACCAUUGUGUGGAAA